UAAGCAGGUAGUGAAAGCGAGUGGCUCAACCACAUUUACAUUACCUGAACUGCAAAGCUAGAGGACAAGAGAGGUCACUGGGAUUCCUUGUGUAGGAGUGAAAUCCGUAGAUAUAAGGAGGAACACCGAUGGCGUAGGCAGGUGACUGGCUUGUUCCUGACGCUCAGGCACGAAAGCGUGGGUAGCAAACGGGAUUAGAUACCCCGGUAGUCCACGCUGUAAACGAUGGAUGCUA
rnacentral:rRNA from 1 species